UACAGCUCAAUGAAAAGUACGUCAAUUGCCAUAAAAGGAGAAUCAAUAUCGUUUGUUUUGGGCGCCAAAAUGAAGACUCAGCAGCAGUCAGUCAGAAGAACUCUCUCAGACGGACACCACGUUAUUAAAGUCCAUCAUCCUUGCACACACUCAAAAGCAUUGAUAAAUGCUGAAUUUAAAAGAAUCACUACUGUCUUAUGUUCCUGCGUGUCACCUGGACCUCCAAUCCAAAAACCUGAUGAAACUCUUCUAUCAGAAAGGAGGACAGCUAGCAAAAAGGCUUGGAACAAUUAAUGAUCAAAUGACAGAAGGCAUGGAUGAAGUCAGCAUCAGUGAGGUCAUUUGAAGACACCACUGUUGGGAUUUGUGCUCUCAAACAACAUGCUUCUUGUGAUGAAGAAGAGGAUCUUUGUAUAGUCCUGGAAGCCAUGAAGGUGUUGCAACAUCGUGCCAUGUUGUUUGAGCUGAUGUAUGCCUUAAACCUGAGCUAUCCUGAUCUCCGCUUUAUUUUUGAGGAAAUCCAAAAGAUUUUAAUGGAACUGCAUUGAGCGUAACUUUAACGAACUGUUUCUUUCAGUGAAAGGAUCAGAAAGACUGUGCUGCUCAUUUAUGUUCUUUUUAUUUAUCUGUUUUAAGUGUUUUCUCUUAUUAAAACAUUAACAGUUUGCUGCUCAGAGUUGAUUUUGGAAAUGGUUGUUGUAUUUUGUUUUUGUUGAAUCUUUGAUUAUCAGUUUAUACAAAUGCUGUAGCUCUGACUUUCUGAAGGAUUGAUAUGUUCCAGUUUGUAAAUCCAUUUAAAAAAUAAUAGUACUUACUGUUUUGCAUGUCUCUUCUUCGGAAUGCAGUGUUUGUGCUUUAGCACUUCUAAAUCUACUGUGAUAGUAACUAUUUUAAACAUUUGGGUCAGUUUUACAGAUGGGGCUUUUCCUAGUCCCAGACUUUUGCAAUGCCUUAAUUUGAAAACAUAUUGCACUGACAUAUCUUGACAUAUAUCAGUGCCAUUGUUUUGUCUCAAGAUGUACUCCAGUGUUGUUUUUGUAAUGUAGGUUUGUUUGUAAACUUUUUUUGUAAAAAAUAUUCUAAUAUAACUAGGGCCUAGUCAUGGACUAAUCUACAACCUGUCUGGGAAAUUGCCCCUUUGUAUG